rnacentral:rRNA from 1 species
AAUGAACGUUGGCGGCGUGGAUUAGGCAUGCAAGUCGAAUGAAUCCCGGGUAGCAAUAUCCGGGGGAAAUGGCGAAAGGGGCAGUAAUGUAUGGGUAACGUACCCGGGGGUCGUGGAUAGCCAUCCUAACGAAUGGGUAAUACACGGCGAUUCGGCGAGGGGACAUCCUCUUGCCGGGAAAGAAUUUCGCCUCCGGAGCGGCUCAUAUCGUAUUAGCUAGUUGGUGAGGUAACGGCUCACCAAGGCGAAGAUGCGUAGCGGGUGUGAGAGCACGACCCGCGCCACUGGCACUGAGACACUGGCCAGACACCUACGGGUGGCUGCAGUCGAGGAUCUUCGGCAAUGGGCGAAAGCCUGACCGAGCGACGCCGCGUGGAUGAUGAAGGCCUUCGGGUUGUAAAAUCCUGUCGAGGGGGAUCAAGGGCAACUUGAGUGAUCCCUGGAGGAAGCACGGGCUAAGUUCGUGCCAGCAGCCGCAGUAAAAC